rnacentral:lncRNA from 1 species
CUCUCGAUGUGUCCUUUUUUUUACAAUAAACUGCAGAAACUUCCGUGUGAUGACCGUGUUCCCUGUCAUUGAGUGGCGAUUUUGCUAGGAAAAUAUCAUAGCCAAAUUUCGCUGUUGGAUCUUGGAUUUUGCUAGGAAAAUUAAGUUGAUGCUUGUGACAACUCUGCUUUCCUACUCAAUUGAAUACUGCUGUGCGAUGACCAUCCUAGGCAAAUCUUGUUGUUGGAUCUUGUGUGUGCGGCGCCUCUCUCACCUUUGGCUUCUUGAGAUUGACCUUUCUCAAAGUUGCCCAGUCAUGGAGGCGCAUAGUGAUCACUGGCCGGUUUAACGUGGGAGCUAGCAGAUUGUUGCCAUGCUUCCAAAAUCUCUCGCCACAUCUAUUGUUAUCAUGACAGAAAAAAAAUACUUUUUUGAUCUCAUGUCGUUUGAUGAGCAUUCAUUAGUUCUGACCUUAUGCUUACCGGAGCUAUAAUGUGCUCCGGUGCCUCUCACACCUUUGGCAUCUUGAGAUUGUUCUUUCUCAAAGUUGCCCAGUCAUAGUGGCACAUAGUAAUUCCUGGUGAGUUUAACGUGGGAGGUCACUCUUUAUGGUUAUGCUUCCAAAAUCUCUCUCUACAUCUGUUGGAUCAAAUCACUUUUCUUCUAACUGUAUUGUGAAUGUAGUGGUUAUGUGCAAUUAAGUUAUGUAAAACUAUUGUGGCUUGAAUUUGUUGCAUCUUGCCAAGUUUUGUCAAUGAUGAUUUCUGUCUGCAAAAUGUAUGCUCUGUGGAUUCAAGCCCCUGUUUCAGGGAGAACCUCUUGAUGAAGUAGAUAUAAUAUGACAUCAAUUGACAAAUCUGAGACAUCUUGCAGCAUUGUUUUGCUUAUUGCCUUGUUAUUUUAGUAGUUAAGUGCAUUGUUUUGCAACUAUCUUUAUAGCCUGAUACCUUAACCAUCAUUUUCUGAAGUUUUGCCAAUGAUGAUUCUGUCUGCAAAAUGUAUGCUCUGUGGAUUCAAGCCCCUGUUUCAGGGAGAACCCUGAGACAUCUUUUUGCACUGUUCUGCUUUUUGCAUGGUUAUUUUAGAAGUUAAAUCUAUUGAGGUCUGUUGACUUCUGAUUUUGCAACUAUCUUUGUUGCCUGAUACCUUAACCAUCAUUUUCUUAAGUUUUGCCAAUGAUGAUUUUGUCUGCAAAAUGUAUGCUCUGUGGAUUCAAGCCCCUGUUUCAGGGAGAAC